AAUAUUCGGUGCAAUAAUAAUUCUCAGUGCAGUCUGUAUUCUGCAACCAGCUAACAAUUAUUGCCUGUUUUGCUGUUUUGCAGAUAUCUCAGCUCUUAGUGACAACACAAACCAGCGAGCAAGAUUGAUGUCACUGACUGGCUGCAUAAUCAUGGAGGCACUACACUAAUGUCUUCACAUUUCAACUCUAAGUGACAACUCGGUUUUAAAACUUCCUUGUGACCUUCUAGCAUGCACACGUCGAGUGCUUUUCAGAGUGGUUUUCUGAACAUGGCUUGCAGCGAGAUCGAGCACAAUGAUCGAGUGAUGGGCUGAACAGUGCAGCAUGUUGGAAGCAAACACACAAUUAGACAAGCCUUCCAGUUGCAAGGGUGUACAUGACCCCCCCCUGCAUGAGAGUCCUAAUCCAGUUACCCCAUGCAGCCUCCCCCCCCCCCCACAACAUCCC